rnacentral:rRNA from 1 species
AUUCCGGUUGAUCCUGCCGGAGGCGCACUGCUAUGGGGGUCCGACUAAGCCAUGCGAGUCAUGGGGCGCGCUCUGCGCGCACCGGCGGACGGCUCAGUAACACGUCGGUAACCUACCCUCGGGAGGGGGAUAACCCCGGGAAACUGGGGCUAAUCCCCCAUAGGCCUGGGGUACUGGAAGGUCCCCAGGCCGAAAGGGGCUCUGCCCGCCCGAGGAUGGGCCGGCGGCCGAUUAGGUAGUUGGUGGGGUAACGGCCCACCAAGCCGAAGAUCGGUACGGGCCAUGAGAGUGGGAGCCCGGAGAUGGACACUGAGACACGGGUCCAGGCCCUACGGGGCGCAGCAGGCGCGAAACCUCCGCAAUGCGGGCAACCGCGACGGGGGGACCCCCAGUGCCGUGGCUCAGGCCACGGCUUUUCCGGAGUGUAAAAAGCUCCGGGAAUAAGGGCUGGGCAAGGCCGGUGGCAGCCGCCGCGGUAAUACCGGCGGCCCAAGUGGUGGCCGCUAUUAUUGGGCCUAAAGCGUCCGUAGCCGGGCCCGUAAGUCCCUGGCGAAAUCCCACGGCUCAACCGUGGGGCUUGCUGGGGAUACUGCGGGCCUUGGGACCGGGAGAGGCCGGGGGUACCCCUGGGGUAGGGGUGAAAUCCUAUAAUCCCGGGGGGACCGCCAGUGGCGAAGGCGCCCGGCUGGAACGGGUCCGACGGUGAGGGACGAAGGCCAGGGGAGCGAACCGGAUUAGAUACCCGGGUAGUCCUGGCUGUAAAGGAUGCGGGCUAGGUGUCGGGCGAGCUUCGAGCUCGGCCCGGUGCCGGAGGGCAAGCCGUUAAGCCCGCCGCCUGGGGAGUACGGCCGCAAGGCUGAAACUUAAAGGAAUUGGCGGGGGAGCACUACAAGGGGUGGAGCGUGCGGUUUAAUUGGAUUCAACGCCGGGAACCUCACCGGGGGCGACGGCAGGAUGAAGGCCAGGCUGAAGGUCUUGCCGGACACGCCGAGAGGAGGUGCAUGGCCGCCGUCAGCUCGUACCGUGAGGCGUCCACUUAAGUGUGGUAACGAGCGAGACCCGCGCCCCCAGUUGCCAAGUCCUCCCCGCUGGGGAGGAGGCACUCUGGGGGGACCACCGGCGAUAAGCCGGAGGAAGGAGCGGGCGACGGUAGGUCAGUAUGCCCCGAAACCCCCGGGCUACACGCGCGCUACAAUGGGCGGGACAAUGGGAUCCGACCCCGAAAGGGGAAGGGAAUCCCCUAAACCCGCCCUCAGUUCGGAUCGCGGGCUGCAACUCGCCCGCGUGAAGCUGGAAUCCCUAGUACCCGCGUGUCAUCAUCGCGCGGCGAAUACGUCCCUGCUCCUUGCACACACCGCCCGUCACUCCACCCGAGCGGGGUCUGGGUGAGGCCUGGUCUCCCUUCGGGGAGGCCGGGUCGUUCUGGGCUCCGUGAGGGGG